rnacentral:rRNA from 1 species
UGGGGAAUAUUGGACAAUGGGCGCAAGCCUGAUCCAGCAAUGCCGCGUGAGUGAUGAAGGCCUUCGGGUUGUAAAGCUCUUUCGUCCGCGACGAUGAUGACGGUAGCGGAAGAAGAAGCCCCGGCUAACUUCGUGCCAGCAGCCGCGGUAAUACGAAGGGGGCGAGCGUUGUUCGGAAUUACUGGGCGUAAAGGGCGCGUAGGCGGUCGGCCGCGUCAGAUGUGAAAGCCCCGGGCUCAACCUGGGAACCGCAUUUGAGACGGGUCGACUCGAGUUCGGGAGAGGAUGGUGGAAUUCCCAGUGUAGAGGUGAAAUUCGUAGAUAUUGGGAAGAACACCGAGGGCGAAGGCAGCCAUCUGGACCGACACUGACGCUGAGGCGCGAAAGCGUGGGGAGCAAACAGGAUUAGAUACCCUGGUAGUCCACGCCGUAAACGAUGAGUGCUAGCCGCUGGGACGCUUGCGUGUCGGUGGCGUCGCUAACGCUUUAAG